UACGAAGGGGGCUAGCGUUGCUCGGAAUUACUGGGCGUAAAGCGCACGUAGGCGGCUUUCUAAGUCGGGGGUGAAAUCCUGGAGCUCAACUCCAGAACUGCCUUCGAUACUGGAGAGCUCGAGUCCGGGAGAGGUGAGUGGAACUGCGAGUGUAGAGGUGAAAUUCGUAGAUAUUCGCAAGAACACCAGUGGCGAAGGCGGCUCGCUGGCCCGGUACUGACGCUGAGGUGCGAAAGCGUGGGGAGCAAACAGG
rnacentral:rRNA from 1 species